CCUACGGGAGGCAGCAGUGAGGAAUAUUGGUCAAUGGGCGCAAGCCUGAACCAGCCAAGUCGCGUGAGGGAUGACUGCCCUCAGGGUUGUAAACUUCUUUUAUAUGGGAAUAAAGUGCAGUAUGUAUACCGCUUUGCAUGUACCUUAUGAAUAAGGCUCGGCUAACUUCGUGCCAGCAGCCGCGGUAAUAAGGAGGAUUCGAGCGUUAUCCCGCUUUAUUGGGUUUAAAGGGAGCGUAGGCGGGUUGUUAAGUCAGUUGUGAAAGAUUGCGGCUCAACCGUAAAAUUGCAGUUGAUACUGGUAGCCUUGAGUGCAGUAGAGGUAGGCGGAAUGCGUGGUGUAGCGGUGAAAUGCUUAGAUAUCACGAAGAACUCCGAUUGCGAAGGCAGCCUGCUGGACUGUAACUGACGCUGAGGCACGAAAGUGUGGGUAUCAAACAGGAUUAGAUACCCGAGUAGUC
rnacentral:rRNA from 1 species